AACGAACGCUGGCGGCAGGCCUAACACAUGCAAGUCGAACGCAUCGCAAGAUGAGUGGCAGACGGGUGAGUAACGCGUGGGAACCUUCCCAGUGGUGCGGAAUAGCUCAGGGAAACUUGAGGUAAUACCGCAUGAGCCCGCAAGGGGGAAAGAUUUAUCGCCAUUGGAUGGGCCCGCGUCGGAUUAGCUAGUUGGUGAGGUAACGGCUCACCAAGGCGACGAUCCGUAGCUGGUUUGAGAGAAUGACCAGCCACACUGGGACUGAGACACGGCCCAGACUCCUACGGGAGGCAGCAGUGGGGAAUAUUGGACAAAUGGGCGCAAGCCUGAUCCAGCCAUGCCGCGUGAGUGACGAAGGCCUUAGGGUUGUAAAGCUCUUUUGGCGGGGACGAGUAAUGACGGUACCCGCAGAAUAAGCCCGGCUAACUUCGUGCCAGCAGCCGACGGUAAAAUGGCGUACU
rnacentral:rRNA from 1 species